GGUGAGGUAACGGCUCACCAAGGCGACGACGGGUAGCCGGCCUGAGAGGGCGACCGGCCACACUGGGACUGAGACACGGCCCANACUCCUACGGGAGGCAGCAGUGGGGAAUAUUGCACAAUGGGCGAAAGCCUGAUGCAGCGACGCCGCGUGAGGGAUGACGGCCUUCGGGUUGUAAACCUCUUUCAGCAGGGAAGAAGCGAAAGUGACGGUACCUGCAGAAGAAGCGCCGGCUAACUACGUGCCAGCAGCCGCGGUAAUACGUAGGGCGCGAGCGUUGUCCGGAAUUAUUGGGCGUAAAGAGCUCGUAGGCGGUCUGUCGCGUCGGAUGUGAAAGCCCGGGGCUUAACCCCGGGUCUGCAUUCGAUACGGGCAGACUAGAGUGUGGUAGGGGAGAUCGGAAUUCCUGGUGUAGCGGUGAAAUGCGCAGAUAUCAGGAGGAACACCGGUGGCGAAGGCGGAUCUCUGGGCCAUUACUGACGCUGAGGAGCGAAAGCGUG
rnacentral:rRNA from 1 species